rnacentral:rRNA from 1 species
CGGGAAAAGCUCAAAUUUAAAAUCUGGCGGGUUCCCCGUCCGAGUUGUAAUCUGGAGAAGCGUUUUCCGCGUUGGACCGUGUAAAAGUCUUUUGGAAUGAAGCGUCAUAGAGGGUGAGAAUCCCGUCCAUGACACGGACUACCAAUGCUUUGUGAUACGCUCUCGAA